rnacentral:tRNA from 3 species
UCCCCUGUAGCUCAAUGGUAGAGCGAGUCCCUGUUAAGGACGAGGUUGUAGGUUCGAGUCCUACCGGGGGAGCCA